UUUGCCUAUUAUUCAUGCAAUUAACAGUAAUCCUGAUGAUAGACAAAUAAUAAAUAUUCUAAAACAACAAACAAUGGAUAUCGAGAUGAAACGUCAUUGUGUUAAACUAUUAGAUAGUUUCGGAUCGUUGAAGUACACGAGAGAUCUACUUGAGGAACUGGAUACGAAGGUCAGAAUCGAAAUUGAAUAUUUAGGAGGUAACCCGCUCUUCAUGAAGGCUAUGGACGAGUUAAAAAAUGGAAUGCCAAAGACGCACGCCGAUAUGCUUACUAGAAAUCAAGAUUGUUUGUAAAACACCAAGCGUACCAAUUUUCGUGAUUUUUCUAUAGCACUGUCCAUAUAUGUAUGGUAGGCUUUAGUAAUAGUGUAAUUGGCAACAAGAAGAUGACAAGAGAAAAUGAUACAUAAGAAAACGUAUUAAAAAUAUAAAAUAAAAA